rnacentral:pre_miRNA from 1 species
AAUCUAGUGGAAACAUUUCCGCACAAAGUAGACUACUGAAGAAAGUGUGCAGAAAUACUUCUGCUACAUU